rnacentral:rRNA from 1 species
GAUGAACGCUGGCGGCGUGCCUAAUACAUGCAAGUCGAGCGAACAGACGAGGAGCUUGCUCCUCUGACGUUAGCGGCGGACGGGUGAGUAACACGUGGAUAACCUACCUAUAAGACUGGGAUAACUUCGAGAAACCGGAGCUAAUACCGGAUAAUAUAUUGAACCGCAUGGUUCAAUAGUGAAAGACGGUUUUGCUGUCACUUAUAGAUGGAUCCGCGCCGCAUUAGCUAGUUGGUAAGGUAACGGUUUACCAAGGCAACGAUGCGUAGCCGACCUGAGAGGGUGAUCGGCCACACUGGAACUGAGACACGGUCCAGACUCCUACGGGAGGCAGCAGUAGGGAAUCUUCCGCAAUGGGCGAAAGCCUGACGGAGCAACGCCGCGUGAGUGAUGAAGGUCUUCGGAUCGUAAAACUCUGUUAUUAGGGAAGAACAAAUGUGUAAGUAACUAUGCACGUCUUGACGGUACCUAAUCAGAAAGCCACGGCUAACUACGUG